rnacentral:pre_miRNA from 1 species
UGAUUUUGCGAAGUAGAACAUAGGCCUGAGAUGAAGACGGAGAGAGCGUGGUUCAGCCAAGGAUGACUUGCCGGACGGCUAGCUCCGGUUGUCAGCUCCAUCGUCGGCAAGUUGUUCUUGGCUACAUUGCGCUCACUUGUUCUCAUUUCAGACCUCUCUAUGUUCUCCCAUUUGGCAACUUCA